UUUCGAAGUUUACCCCUCUCUACUCUAAUGGCUACAUUUCUUUCUCCUCUCCUCUUCUUGUCUCUAAAGCCUUUAAUCUCAGCAAUCUUGCCCAAAUUAACAAACCCUACUCUCUCUUCUCUCUUCUCUCUCUGGAGUUUACUGAUCGGAAUCAACCACUUCAUGCAGCCAAGAAACACAAUCUUGAGAGAGACCCACUCAAGUGAGUCGCCGUCUCCAAACCCUAAUUCAAAAUUAAAGUCAUUGAAGAAGCAAAAAGACAAACCCUAAUUCAAAAUUAAAGUCAUUGAAGAAGCAAAAAGACAAACUCACUUCUUCCAUCUUCUUUGGCAUCUUCCAAGAUUAAGAGUCCCCUUCCCCCAUGCUUGCCCAAUCGCAAGCUCGCCACUCAUACACUUACCGAGAACGUAAUGGUUGUCGGGUGUUCAAAUUUACAAUGAACAAAUCACAUAUUUGUUGGAUCCAAGCCAAAGAAAUCUUCAGUGUGAUGAAGUGUCUAAGACGAGGAAGACCACCACACCGAUUGAGCUCCAGGUGGGGAGGUUGCAACAAUGAACAUGCAUUCAUGCAAUGGUCCUGAGUUUGUUUUACAACUUAACUCUUCCCUUAAACUUGGUUGUUCUAAAACCAAAAGUCCUGGUUCAUGGACAUCUCAAGAAGCAAAUGCACGCUUAAAAUGUG